UUUCCGUAGGUGAACCUGCGGAAGGAUCAUUCAUAAUAAGUGUUUUAUGGCACUUUUUUAAAUCCAUAUCCACCUUGUGUGCAAUGUCAGGGUUGAUUUUUCUCUCGAGAGGAUCGGCCCCAAACAUCAACUAUAUCUCAACUCUUUGUCUGAAAAAUAUUAUGAAUAAAACAAUUCAAAAUACAACUUUCGACAACGGAUCUCUUGGCUCUC
rnacentral:misc_RNA from 1 species